UCAACCUAUUUAACCAUUCAAUCCAUCAAGUUAAAUGAGUUCAUGAGUUGACCCAACUCAUUUUAAAUGAGUUGGGUCAACUCAUGAACUCAUUUAACUCUAAACUCAUUGGGUAAUGAGU